UAAAGACUCACAUUCCCACUGAGUUUCUGCUUCCCCACUCUUGGACUUUGUUUUCCCCCCUGGAUUACCCCACAUGGACUCUGGUCUUCUCCCUGAUUCUCACCAGCCUACUUCUGUCUCCAGCUUGCUUGUCCUGUCUCAUCUCCAUCUGCCCCUGGAUUCCCUAAGCCUGUUUUCCCCCUCUGUGUUCGUUUUUCCCCCGUCUUAGACACCAGGGGUUGGAGUCUUUCCCAGAAUGUACUGAGCAGAAGGUAGAGACACCCCACAAGGGUCACCACAGUUCACUGCAGGGGCAGUGCAGUUAAUAUGUGCAACUGCAGGUCCUCCUCAUCAUACUGUGGCAAAAACAGCGAUAGGAAUCACCAUGGCAACAGAGUUUCUACCUGAAAGUGAGGCUGUGGAGAAGCUGGAGGAAGAGGGAGAGAAUGAGAGAGGGCUGGGGCCUCUCAUAACACAGCAUGAUUUAUGAAGGUCUGGGAAGGAACAUUUACAACACGUUCUCUUCACACUCUGAAAGAAAAGGGUCCAAGGCAUUAAAGGCCAGGCAGGCAUUCAGCAAGUGCAUUCAUUCUCCCUCCUCAGUCCAUCUUCUGUCUGUCUCGCUUUAACUCUCUUGGAAAAAAUGCACAAAAAUGUUUUAUUGUAUCAGUUACCCUGCUGUUGAUGUCUGUGAAAACUGUACUGCAAACAAACUGGUAGACUGACAGAUUAGUCAUUGGUCUUAUUCAGUACAAAUGCAAUUUUUCCUUCAUAUCUAGUCUUUUAAAUGAUGAUGUGAAUAAAAGUCCUACAUAAUU